AAAAUUCCAUUUAUCAUUUAACCACAUACUUGAUUGAUUUAUUUUUAAAGUUUAACACAAUAUGUAUAGGUCCUAAUAAACUCAAUUUACACAUUCCCAGUUAUUAAAUUAAUCUAACAUCUAACCGGACCGAAUCACAACACUUAUCCAUUUGUAUUAUACUUUUGCAUGCUACAGUAACUUACAUAAAUACCGACUAAAAAACAUGUUUAAUUAUGAAAUUAUUUUUAAAUGAA
rnacentral:lncRNA from 1 species